UACAGAGGGUGCAAGCGUUAAUCGGAAUUACUGGGCGUAAAGCGUGCGUAGACGGUUACAUAAGUCGGGUGUGAAAGCCCCGGGCUCAACCUGGGAAUUGCAUUCGAGACUGCGUAGCUAGGGUGCGGAAGAGGGAAGCGGAAUUUCCGGUGUAGCGGUGAAAUGCGUAGAUAUCGGAAGGAACACCAGUGGCGAAGGCAAUCCCCUGGGCCUGCACUGACGCUCAUGCACGAAGCGUGGGGAGCAAACAGG
rnacentral:rRNA from 1 species